rnacentral:rRNA from 1 species
UACGGGGGGAGCAAGCGUUGUUCGGAUUUACUGGGCGUAAAGGGUGCGUAGGCGGCGCGGUAAGUCGGGUGUGAAAUCUCGGAGCUUAACUCCGAAACUGCAUUCGAUACUGCCGUGCUUGAGGACUGGAGAGGAGACUGGAAUUUACGGUGUAGCGGUGAAAUGCGUAGAUAUCGUGAAGAAGGCCUGUGGCGAAAGCAAGAUUCUGGGUGACGACUGACACUGAGGCACGAAAGCCAGGGGAGCAAACGGG